GUUCCUACGGGGGGCAGCAGUGGGGAAUAUUGCACAAUGGGGGAAACCCUGAUGCAGCGACGCCGCGUGAGUGAAGAAGUACUUCGGUAUGUAAAGCUCUAUCAGCAGGGAAGAAAAUGACGGUACCUGAGUAAGAAGCCCCGGCUAACUACGUGCCAGCAGCCGCGGUAAUACGUAGGGGGCAAGCGUUAUCCGGAUUUACUGGGUGUAAAGGGAGCGCAGACGGUUGCGCAAGUCUGAAGUGAAAUCCCGAGGCUUAACCACGGGACUGCUUUGGAAACUGUGCGACUUGAGUAUCGGAGGGC
rnacentral:rRNA from 1 species